AGAACAAAAAAUAACUUUUUCAAUAUAACAUGAAUAAUAUACAAGAUUUAUGUGGGCUGACAAUAUUCAAAAAGCUAAGUACAUAUAAUUCUCACCACCAAAACAAACUUAUGCUAAUACUAAUAUAAAGGUCCUAUGAUCUCAAGAACCAAGCUGAGUACAUAACUCUCACCACCAAAACAAAUUAACUUAUGCUAAUAUGCUAAUAAAAAGGUCCUAUGAGCUUCAUCCUUAAUCAAAUAACAACCUGCACAAUAAGCUCCCAGCAUACCAUUUCCUGCAUCCAGCUGAUGAGUUCAGAAAACCAAAGCAUUCAAACAAAAAUUAACCUAAGCACCUCUCCACCAUUUUCCAAACCAAGCCAGCAGUACCUCUCAUGUUUUCAAGAAGUCCCUGAAAAAUUAAGAAUAUACUCAGUACAAUCAAUAUCUUGUGCUCAUUAGAGAUUGAUCCAAAUUUCGUUUUAAAUUUAAUAAUAUUAAAGAAGAAAAACGAUUGACUGCAAAC
rnacentral:lncRNA from 1 species